rnacentral:rRNA from 1 species
UAGGGAAUAUUGGUAAUGGGCGAAAGCCUGAACCAGCAACGCCGCGUGUGCGAAGAAGGCCUUCGGGUUGUAAAGCACUUUUUAAGGGGAUGAGGAAGGACAGUACCCUUAGAAUAAGCCUCGGCUAACUACGUGCCAGCAGCCGCGGUAACACGUAGGAGGCAAGCGUUAUUCGGAUUUACUGGGCGUAAAGCGCGUGCAGGCGGUUUGGUAAGUUGGAUGUGAAAGCUCCCGGCCUAACUGGGAGAGGUCGUUCAAUACUACCAGACUAGAGGAUGGGAGAGGGAGUGGAAUUCCGGGUGUAGUGGUGAAAUGCGUAGAUAUCCGGAGGAACACCAGUGGCGAAAGCGGCCUCCUGGCCCAUUUCUGACGCUCAGACGCGAAAGCUAGGGUAGCAAAC